rnacentral:tRNA from 1 species
UGUGCUUUAGUAUAUGGUGUAUAAGAGUUUUUGAUACUUUAGGAAAUAGUUUAAUUCUAUUAGGUACAG